GAAAUGCGAUAAGUAAUGUGAAUUGCAGAAUUCAGUGAAUCAUCGAAUCUUUGAACGCACCUUGCGCUCCUUGGUAUUCCUUGCAGCAUGCCUGUUUGAGUAUCAUGAAAUCUUCAAAGUAAAUCUUUUGUUAACUCAAUUGGUUUCUACUUUGGUAUUGGAGGUCUUUGCAGCUUCACACCUGCUCCUCUUUGUUCAUUAGCUGGAUCUCAGUGUUAUGCUUGGUUCCACUCGGCGUGAUAAGUUAUCUAUCGCUGAGGACACUGUAAAAGGUGGCCAAGGUAAAUGCAGAUGAACCGCUUCUAAUAGUCCAUUGACUUGGACAAUACUUUUAUGAUCUGAUCUCAAAUCAGGUAGGACUACCCGCUGAACUUAAGC
rnacentral:misc_RNA from 1 species